GUCCACGCCCUAAACGAUGUCUACUAGUUGUCGGGUUUUAAUUAACUUGGUAACGCAGCUAACGCGUGAAGUAGACCGCCUGGGGAGUACGGUCGCAAGAUUAAAACUCAAAGGAAUUGACGGGGACCCGCACAAGCGGUGGAUGAUGUGGAUUAAUUCGAUGCAACGCGAAAAACCUUACCUACCCUUGACAUGUACGGAAGCCACGAGAGAUCGAGGUGUGCUCGAAAGAGAACCGUAACACAGGUGCUGCAUGGCU
rnacentral:rRNA from 1 species